rnacentral:rRNA from 1 species
CAGGCCUAACACAUGCAAGUCGAGCGAGAAANCUCCCUUCGGGAGUAAGUAAAGCGGCGAACGGGUGAGUAACAUGUGAGAAUCUACCCUUUAGUGAAGAAUACCUCCGAGAAAUCGGUGUUAAUACUGCAUACGUCCCUCCGGGGAGAAAGAUGGCCUCUUUGCUAUCGCUAAAGGAUGAGCUUGCGUACUAUUAGUUAGUUGGUGAGGUAAUGGCUCACCAAGACAAUGAUGGUUAACCGGCCUGAGAGGGUGUUCGGUCACACUGGAACUUAGACACGGUCCAGACUCCUACGGGAGGCAGCAGUGAGGAAUCUUGCACAAUGGGCGAAAGCCUGAUGCAGCGACGCCGCGUGGAGGAUGACGGUCUUCGGAUUGUAAACUCCUGUUAAACGGGAAGAAAGAUCUGUUUCUAAUACAAGCAGAUUAUGACGGUACCGUUAGAGAAAGCACCGGCUAACUUCGUGCCAGCAGCCGCGGUAAU